rnacentral:rRNA from 1 species
GGAUCAGGUAGGAAUACCCGCUGAACUUAAGCAUAUCAAUAGCCGAAGGAA